rnacentral:rRNA from 1 species
UCCUACGGGAGGCAGCAGUAGGGAAUCUUCCACAAUGGACGCAAGUCUGAUGGAGCAACGCCGCGUGAGUGAAGAAGGGUUUCGGCUCGUAAAGCUCUGUUGGUAGUGAAGAAAGAUAGAGGUAGUAACUGGCCUUUAUUUGACGGUAAUUACUUAGAAAGUCACGGCUAACUACGUGCCAGCAGCCGCGGUAAUACGUAGGUGGCAAGCGUUGUCCGGAUUUAUUGGGCGUAAAGCGAGUGCAGGCGGUUCAAUAAGUCUGAUGUGAAAGCCUUCGGCUCAACCGGAGAAUUGCAUCAGAAACUGUUGAACUUGAGUGCAGAAGAGGAGAGUGGAACUCCAUGUGUAGCGGUGGAAUGCGUAGAUAUAUGGAAGAACACCAGUGGCGAAGGCGGCUCUCUGGUCUGCAACUGACGCUGAGGCUCGAAAGCAUGGGUAGCGAACAGGAUUAGAUACCCUGGGUAGUCC